UUUUCAUUGCUAUUAGUAGACGAUUGUGGGAGCUAGCUAAAUCGAUCAACUGCUCCUCUCCUUGCAGUCUCAUUUCUUCCUCUCUCUCAAUUUCUGUCUUGUCUCCUGACUCUUGGGCAGAUUGUUGGAGACAUUACUAAGGAAAGCACUCUUCUUCCUGAGUACUUCAAAGGUGUGAGGAAAGUCAUCAAUGCAGCUUCUGUCAUCGUUGGCCCAAAGGAAGAGGACACUCCUGAUAGGGCAAAAUACAGCCAAGGAAUCAAGUUCUUUGAACCAGAGAUAAAAGGUGAUUCACCAGAAAUGGUUGAGUACAUUGGGAUGUAAAAUUUGAUCAAUGCUGUAAAGACAUGUGUUGGACUUCGAAAUGGAAAAUUGCUCUUUGGAUUUGAAGAUAAGUUAUCUAGGGAGCUUCCUUGGGGUGCCUUAGAUGACGUCGUCAUGGGAGGAGUUAGUAGAAGUACAUUUCAAGUAGAUCCAACUGGCGGAGAAAAUGGUGGACCUACUGGUCUUUUCAAAGGUGUUGUUUCAACUGCAAACAAUGGUGGGUUCACCAGUAUCAGGACAAGGGUAAACUAGUAGUGUUUUUUGUUUUUUUUGUUUUUUUUUAACUUCUCCAUAGUCUAAUAGUAAUAUCGUUUUCUGUUUCUUGCUUUGGGAUAUG